rnacentral:rRNA from 1 species
AUUGAACGCUGGCGGCAUGCUUUACACAUGCAAGUCGAACGGCAGCGCGGGGCAACCUGGCGGCGAGUGGCGCACGGGUGAGUAAUAUAUCGGAACGUACCCAGAAGUGGGGGCUAACGUAGCGAAAGUUACGCUAAUACCGCAUACGAUCUACGGAUGAAAGUCGGGGACCGCAAGGCCUUAUGCUUUUGGAGCGGCCGAUAUCUGAUUAGCUAGUUGGUGAGGUAAAGGCUCACCAAGGCGACGAUCAGUAGCUGGUCUGAGAGGACGACCAGCCACACUGGAACUGAGACACGGUCCAGACUCCUACGGGAGGCAGCAGUGGGGAAUUUUGGACAAUGGGCGCAAGCCUGAUCCAGCAAUGCCGCGUGAGUGAAGAAGGCCUUCGGGUUGUAAAGCUCUUUUGUCAGGGAAGAAACGGUAGAGGCUAAUAUCCUUUGCUAAUGACGGUACCUGAAGAAUAAGCACCGGCUAACUACGUG